UAAAAACCCCGACUUCGGAAGGGGUGUAUUUAUUAGAUACAAAACCAAUGCCCUUCGGGGCUCUUUGGUGAUUCAUGAUAACUAUACGAAUCGCACGGCCUUGCGCCGGCGAUGGUUCAUUCAAAUUUCUUCCCUAUCAACUUUCGAUGUUUGGGUAUUGGCCAAACAUGGUUGCAACGGGUAACGGAGGGUUAGGGCUCGACCCCGGAGAAGGAGCCUGAGAAACGGCUACUACAUCCAAGGAAGGCAGCAGGCGCGCAAAUUACCCAAUCCCGACUCGGGGAGGUAGUGACAAUAAAUACUGAUACAGGGCCCUUUCGGGCCUUGUAAUUGGAAUGAGUACAAUUUAAAUCCCUUAACGAGGAACAAUUGGAGGGCAAGUCUGGUGCCAGCAGCCGCGGUAAUUCCAGCUCCAAUAGCGUAUAUUAAAGUUGUUGUGGUUAAAAAGCUCGUAGUUGAACCUUGGGCCUGGCUGGACUGACCGCCUCACCGAGUGCACUGGUUCGGCAGGGCCUUUCCCUCUGUAGAACCCUAUACAAAUCAAUAGACAUGGCGGGGAAAAGAAAAAAUAUUUCA
rnacentral:rRNA from 1 species